rnacentral:rRNA from 1 species
CCUACGGGAGGCAGCAGUGGGGAAUAUUGCACAAUGGGGGAAACCCUGAUGCAGCAACGCCGCGUGAGUGAUGACGGCCUGCGGGGUGGAAAGCUCUGUCUUCAGGGAAGAGAAUGACGGUACCUGAGGAGGAAGCCACGGCUAACUACGUGCCAGCAGCCGCGGUAAUACGUAGGUGGCGAGCGUUGUCCGGAUUUACUGGGCGUAAAGGGAGCGUAGGCGGACUUUGCAGUGAGCUGUGAAAUACUCGGGCUCCACUUGAGUGCUGCAUUUCAAACUGGCAGUCUAGAGUGCAGGAGAGGAGACUGGCUUUCCUCGUGUAGCGGUGACAUGCGUCGAGAUUAG